AGCCCAUGGUGUGGAUGUCUUAUAAGCAGAUCCUUAAAUCUUUCCGAAGCUCCAUACAAGGAUUCACCAUCAAUUGUGUAAAACCAAUUAUAUCAUUCCUCACCUU
rnacentral:snoRNA from 1 species